AAAGGAUUGAGCCACUUAUGGUACAAGUUUAGAUAAAGAGGUCCAUUUUUAUGUUUGCAGACAGACUCCUAUUUUUCUACGCAGCUGCUGCUUCCUCAUAACUGAGACCUGUGUAGUGCAAAUGAAAGCAGUUUUCUGGAUGAAGCAACCUUUUCCUCAGAGUCUUGGGCUCCACAUCCACUCCCUGCCAGGACAGGUGCAUCCCACACAGUUUGUGUCCAGCCUUCCUCUACCAGGCAUGCUGUAACUUCCGCCGUUUUUUUUCAGCCCACAGUAAGUCAACCUGGGCAUAGCUGAAGGAAUACCAAAACAGGUGCAGCCCAGGAAUGUGUGACCAGCUAG